rnacentral:rRNA from 1 species
GAUGAACGCUGGCGGCGUGCCUAAUACAUGCAAGUCGAGCGAACAGACGAGGAGCUUGCUCCUCUGACGUUAGCGGCGGACGGGUGAGUAACACGUGGAUAACCUACCUAUAAGACUGGGAUAACUUCGGGAAACCGGAGCUAAUACCGGAUAAUAUAUUGAACCGCAUGGUUCAAUAGUGAAAGACGGUUUUGCUGUCACUUAUAGAUGGAUCCGCGCCGCAUUAGCUAGUUGGUAAGGUAACGGCUUACCAAGGCAACGAUGCGUAGCCGACCUGAGAGGGGGAUCGGCCACACUGGAACUGAGACACGGUCCAGACUCCUACGGGAGGCAGCAGUAGGGAAUCUUCCGCAAUGGGCGAAAGCUUGACGGAGCAACGCCGCGUGAGUGAUGAAGGUCUUCGGAUCGUAAAACUCUGUUAUUAGGGAAGAACAAAUGUGUAAGUAACUAUGCACGUCUUGACGGUACCUAAGCAGAAAGCCACGGCUAACUACGU